rnacentral:rRNA from 1 species
UACGUAGGGUGCGAGCGUUGUCCGGAAUCAUUGGGCGUAAAGAGCGUGUAGGCGGCUCGGUAAGUCCGCUGUAAAAGUCCAGGGCUCAACCCUGGAAAGCCGGUGGAAACUGUCGAGCUAGAGUCCGGAAGAGGCGAGUGGAAUUCCUGGUGUAGCGGUGAAAUGCGCAGAUAUCAGGAGGAACACCAAUGGCGAAGGCAGCUCGCUGGGACGGUACUGACGCUGAGACGCGAAAGCGUGGGGAGCAAACAGGAUAGAUACCCUG